rnacentral:rRNA from 1 species
AGUAGACGUUCAGAGUUUGAUCCUGGCUCAGGAUGAACGCUGGCGGCGUGCUUAACACAUGCAAGUCGAACGGAACUACUUUGAUGAGAUUCUUCGGAAAGGAAUUGAUUUAGUUUAGUGGCGGACGGGUGAGUAACGCGUGGGUAACCUGCCUCAUACAGGGGGAUAACAGUUGGAAACGACUGUUAAUACCGCAUAAGCGCACGGCAUCGCAUGAUGCAGUGUGAAAAACUCCGGUGGUAUGGGAUGGACCCGCGUCUGAUUAGCUAGUUGGUGAGGUAACGGCCCACCAAGGCGACGAUCAGUAGCCGGCCUGAGAGGGUGAACGGCCACAUUGGGACUGAGACACGGCCCAA